rnacentral:tRNA from 1 species
GUGGCUGUAGCUCAGUCGGUUAGAGCACCAGGUUGUGGACCUGGGGGUCGUGGGUUCAAUUCCCAUCAGCCACCCCA